UACGUAGGGUGCAAGCGUUGUCCGGAAUUAUUGGGCGUAAAGAGCUCGUAGGCGGUUUGUCGCGUCUGCUGUGAAAACCCGAGGCUCAACCUCGGGUCUGCAGUGGGUACGGGCAGACUAGAGUGCGGUAGGGGAGAUUGGAAUUCCUGGUGUAGCGGUGGAAUGCGCAGAUAUCAGGAGGAACACCGGUGGCGAAGGCGGGUCUCUGGGCAGUAACUGACGCUGAGGAGCGAAAGCGUGGGGAGCGAACAGG
rnacentral:rRNA from 1 species